GCGUCGGUGGUUCAGUGGUAGAAUACUCGCCUCCCACGCGGGUGGCCCGGGUUCGAUUCCCGGCCGACGCA
rnacentral:tRNA from 3 species